CAACAUUCAAUCACUUGAAAGUCACAUACUCCAAAGAAGAUCUCAAAUAAUGUGUCUACAAUGGACAUACAUCUGAAUUUCCAAGAGAGUCUCACCAAAUUCUGGGUCUCAAGAAGUUGCCCAGGCUGGCCUCGAACUGAGAUCCUCUGGCCCUAGUCUCCCAUAUGGCUUGGCCUGUGCCACCAGGCUGAACUGUCUUAGUAUUUAAC
rnacentral:lncRNA from 1 species